GACGAACGCUGGCGGCGUGCUUAACACAUGCAAGUCGAACGGAAAGGCCCUGCUUUUGUGGGGUGCUCGAGUGGCGAACGGGUGAGUAACACGUGAGUAACCUGCCCUUGACUUUGGGAUAACUUCAGGAAACUGGGGCUAAUAUCGUAUAGGAGCUCCUGCUGCAUGGUGGGGGUUGGAAAUUUUCGGCGGUUGGGGAUGGACUCGCGGCUUAUCAGCUAGUUGGUGGGGUAGUGGCUUACCAAGGCUUUGACGGGUAGCCGGCCUGAGAGGGUGACCGGCCACAUUGGGACUGAGAGACGGACCAGACUCCUACGGGAGGCAGCAGGGGGGAAUAUUGCACAAUGGGCGGAAGCCUGAUGCAGCAACGCCGCGUGCGGGAUGACGGCCUUCGGGUUGUAAACCGCUUUCGCCUGUGACGAAGCGUGAGUGACGGUAAUGGGUAAAGAAGCACCGGCUAACUACGUG
rnacentral:rRNA from 1 species